CUUAUAUCUCAAGGUGGGUGGCGCAU
rnacentral:piRNA from 1 species